AUGCAAGUCGAGCGAUGAACCACUUCGGUGGGGAUUAUUGGCGAACGGGUGAGUAACACGUGGGCAAUCUGCCCUGCACUCUGGGACAAGCCCUGGAAACGGGGUCUAAUACCGGAUAUGACCCUCGCAGGCAUCUGUGAGGGUGUAAAGCUCCGGCGGUGCAGGAUGAGCCCGCGGCCUAUCAGCUUGUUGGUGAGGUAACGGCUCACCAAGGCGACGACGGGUAGCCGGCCUGAGAGGGCGACCGGCCACACUGGGACUGAGACACGGCCCAGACUCCUACGGGAGGCAGCAGUGGGGAAUAUUGCACAAUGGGCGAAAGCCUGAUGCAGCGACGCCGCGUGAGGGAUGACGGCCUUCGGGUUGUAAACCUCUUUCAGCAGGGAAGAAGCGAAAGUGACGGUACCUGCAGAAGAAGCGCCGGCUAACUACGUGCCAGCAGCCGCGGUAAUACGUAGGGCGCAAGCGUUGUCCGGAAUUAUUGGGCGUAAAGAGCUCGUAGGCGGCUUGUCGCGUCGGUUGUGAAAGCCCGGGGCUUAACCCCGGGUCUGCAGUCGAUACGGGCAGGCUAGAGUUCGGUAGGGGAGAUCGGAAUUCCUGGUGUAGCGGUGAAAUGCGCAGAUAUCAGGAGGAACACCGGUGGCGAAGGCGGAUCUCUGGGCCGAUACUGACGCUGAGGAGCGAAAGCGUGGGGAGCGAACAGGAUUAGAUACCCUGGUAGUCCACGCCGUAAACGGUGGGCACUAGGUGUGGGCGACAUUCCACGUCGUCCGUGCCGCAGCUAACGCAUUAAGUGCCCCGCCUGGGGAGUACGGCCGCAAGGCUAAAACUCAAAGGAUUGACGGGGG
rnacentral:rRNA from 1 species